rnacentral:rRNA from 1 species
GCCGCCAGCUAGCUCUCUUCAACUCUCACAUGGUCGCCCACUGAAGCUAAGCAGGGCUGCGCCCGGUCAGUACCUGGACGGGAGACCACAUGGGAAAUCUAGAUUGCUGCUGGAA